UCCGCUUUUUCCAGUCGCAUUAUCGUUUUCUUGUAUUCAUCUUGCGACUCCAGCAGCUUCUUGUUCUCCUCGUGAAUCUCUCCCAGUUGGUCGGAGAGUAUGGAGUUCUCUUUCCGAGAAGAAUCAAGGUUCACAUCACGAUCAGUAAUCAUCGAGUCUUUGAUGAUGACCUUGGCACGUUCAGCUGCAAGUUCCAACCUCGCAGCCCCCAACUCUCCUCUAAGUUG
rnacentral:lncRNA from 1 species